UGUUGGCAGGCUCCGUGCUUGGGCAUCGAACUGUUGACCUGCAGCUCCUUCAGUGUUUGCUAUAAGGACUUUGUGCUCCUUGAGGUGUUUUGGUUCCUGUGUUGCCUACCUAAUGAAAGGGAAACGUUUGAUCCUCGAUWUAUAUUGGUUUCCUUCUUGUGCCAUUUUAUGGUGCGAGGAGGACAUCAAAGUGGCCUUKUGUCCCUGGCAUGCCUCACCUUGCUGUGUAGCUGACAUGGUCCACAAGUGCUUACUUGGUCCCUCGGAUAUGGAAAAUUGCAUGGGGCAUGGGGCCUNNNNUUGUGGCCUCUGUGUGUCCGACCCAAAGCUUAUCCGCUCGAUUUUGUACGAUUGCCGAUUACGCUGUGCCUCCGGGCCUGCGGCAUCGGCAUCGCGAAGGAAUGC
rnacentral:misc_RNA from 1 species